CGAACGCUGGCGGCAGGCCUAACACAUGCAAGUCGAACGCUCGUAGCAAUACGAGAGUGGCAGACGGGUGAGUAACGCGUGGGAACCUUCCCAGUGGUACGGAAUAGCUCAGGGAAACUUGAGGUAAUACCGUAUACGCCCCUAGGGGGAAAGAUUUAUCGCCAUUGGAUGGGCCCGCGUCGGAUUAGCUAGUUGGUGAGGUAACGGCUCACCAAGGCGACGAUCCGUAGCUGGUUUGAGAGAAUGACCAGCCACACUGGGACUGAGACACGGUCCAGACUCCUACGGGAGGCAGCAGUGGGGAAUAUUGGACAAUGGGCGAAAGCCUGAUCCAGCCAUGCCGCGUGUGUGAAGAAGGUCUUCGGAUUGUAAAGCACUUUAAGUUGGGAGGAAGGGCAGUAAAUUAAUACUUUGCUGUUUUGACGUUACCGACAGAAUAAGCACCGGCUAACUCUGUGCCAGCAGCCGCGGUAA
rnacentral:rRNA from 1 species